rnacentral:rRNA from 1 species
UAGGGAAUAUUAGUAAUGGGCGAAAGCCUGAACUAGCAACGCCGCGUGUGCGAAGAAGGCCUUCGGGUUGUAAAGCACUUUUUGAGAGGAUGGGGAAGGACGGUACUCUCAGAAUAAGUCUCAGCUAACUACGUGCCAGCAGCCGCGGUAACACGUAGGAGGCGAACGUUAUCCGGAUUUACUGGGCGUAAAGCGCGUGUAGGUGGUUUGGUAAGUAGGGCGUGAAAGUUCCUGGCUCAACUGGGAGAGGCCGUUCUAAACUGCCGAACUAGAGGAUGGUAGAGGGAGGUGGAAUUCCGGGUGUAGCGGUGGAAUGCGCAGAUAUCCGGAGGAACACCAGUGGCGAAAGCGGCCUCCUGGACCAUUCCUGACACUCAGACGCGAAAGCUAGGGUAGCAAACGG